UGGGGAAUUUUGGACAAUGGGCGAAAGCCUGAUCCAGCAAUGCCGCGUGUGUGAAGAAGGCCUUCGGGUUGUAAAGCACUUUUGUCCGGAAAGAAAUCCUUGGCUCUAAUACAGUCGGGGGAUGACGGUACCGGAAGAAUAAGCACCGGCUAACUACGUGCCAGCAGCCGCGGUAAUACGUAGGGUGCAAGCGUUAAUCGGAAUUACUGGGCGUAAAGCGUGCGCAGGCGGUUUGCUAAGACCGAUGUGAAAUCCCGGGCUCAACCUGGGAACUGCAUUGGUGACUGGCAGGCUAGAGUAUGGCAGAGGGGGGUAGAAUUCCACGUGUAGCAGUGAAAUGCGUAGAGAUGUGGAGGAAUACCGAUGGCGAAGGCAGCCCCCUGGGCCAAUACUGACGCUCAUGCACGAAAGCGUGGGGAGCAAACAGGAUUAGAUACCCUGGUAGUCCACGCCCUAAACGAUGUCAACUAGUUGUUGGGGACUUCAUUUUCCUUAGUAACGUAGCUAACGCGUGAAGUUGACCGCCUGGGGAGUACGGUCGCAAGAUUAAAACUUAAAGGAAUUGACGGGGUCAUA
rnacentral:rRNA from 1 species